UCAGUCUCUAGAACUUUCUGUCCAUGACACU
rnacentral:piRNA from 1 species